AAAGGAUCCUAGCUUUUUAUUAGCUACUUUUAUCAGAUAUCGUUAUAGCAAAAAGUUUUUUUCCGAGUAUAAAAUUAUUCAAGUGUACCAGAUAAAUUGCGGUUUGAAUAUAGUACCAUUCUUAGUAAGAACAAACUACGACGAUAUGUGGGGUUAAGGAGUUUGGUUAUGAUUCGCACUGUAAACGUGAUUUGCAUUGUAAUCGGUUUGUAAUUUGAAGAUAAUCGAACUUAUCAACCCCUUUUAAAAUCGGAUUUUCGAAAACCUCUACUUCUCAGAAAAACAAACUGCAGCACCAGUUUACCACCAUAACAUACUUCCUAAUUCUCAAUUACUGGAAUGGGCGUACAUAUAAAUGGUUAGAACUAACACUAUUAACACCUUAUUUGUCAUUUUUUGGUAAAUAGUGAAAAAGUGAAGGUAUAAGCAUAAUCUGUUUGAAGCAAAUCAAGUCCAACUGUAAUAAUUAUUUUUCAGUAAAUCACAUACCAAAGAUUCUUACUCACAUUAAUAAAAAAACUUCUUUUCAUUUUAUUUCUAUCCUCUAGAAUUUUUUUUUUUGAAUAACUAGCUGGUCGUUUAUUUUAAUAAAACACUCAUCAAUCAAAAUCUUUUUCAGGUUCUACAGUAUCAACCAUCCCUCCACCCAAGCAAACAUCGUUUACAUACACGGCAAUGACUUGACCAGGAGUAACGGCUCGUUGUUUAUCUUGA